rnacentral:rRNA from 1 species
AGUGAACGCUGGCGGUAGGCCUAACACAUGCAAGUCGAACGGCAGCACAGUAAGAGCUUGCUCUUACGGGUGGCGAGUGGCGGACGGGUGAGGAAUACAUCGGAAUCUACUUUUUCGUGGGGGAUAACGUAGGGAAACUUACGCUAAUACCGCAUACGACCUACGGGUGAAAGCAGGGGAUCUUCGGACCUUGCGCGAUUGAAUGAGCCGAUGUCGGAUUAGCUAGUUGGCGGGGUAAAGGCCCACCAAGGCGACGAUCCGUAGCUGGUCUGAGAGGAUGAUCCGCCACACUGGAACUGAGACACGGUCCAGACUCCUACGGGAGGCAGCAGUGGGGAAUAUUGGACCAUGGGCGGAAGCCUGAUCCAGCCAUACCGCGUUGGUGAAGAAGGCCUUCGGGUUGUAAAGCCCUUUUGUUGGGAAAGAAAAGCAGCAGGUUAAUACCCCGCUGUUCUGACGGUACCCAAAGAAUAAGCACCGGCUAACUUCGUG